CCUUCGGGUUGUAAAGCCCUGUGAAGUGGAACGAACCGGCUUCGGGCUAAUAUCCCGGGGCCCUGACGGUACCAUUUUAGCAAGCACCGGCUAACUCUGUGC
rnacentral:rRNA from 1 species